GUAUUUUUAUUUAGUCAAUGGUUUUUGAAGCCAUCAUCAAAAUUGAUCAGACAUUGUAUAAUUUAGAGUUUAAUUUGGGGGUCUUCUGGCGAAGAAAGGGAAGAAAUGGAUUUUGAUGAAUCAAAGUCUAUUUCCUCUUUUUCUUUGACUCGCCGAAGCAACAAAUUUGUUUUUGUAUAGACAAGGGUUGGGAAUUUUCUCAGGUAUUUCUACCAUAUGAAAAUAUCUCUUUUAAUGAUCCUUCCGCAGGUUCACCUAUAAUAAUGUUAGUAAAAUGUCUUUUUUUAAAGUUAAGUAAGGGAGGAUGUUACUGACCUACGGAAA
rnacentral:misc_RNA from 1 species